rnacentral:rRNA from 1 species
CCCUAUGGGGCGCAGCAGGCCGUCGGCGCCUAUCUGGAAGGCCGCGCCUCGUUCUAUGUGCUCGAGCAUCGUCUGCGCUGUAAGGACGGCUCCUACAAGUGGAUUCUCAGCCGCGGGAAGCUGAUCGAAUGGACGCGUGAUGGCAAACCUCUGCGCAUGAUCGGCACACACACCGACAUCACCGAGCGCAAGAGGAUGGAGGAAGCGUUGCGCGAAAGCGAGACGCGGCUGAAGUCGAAGCUGGACAUGAUCCUUCAGCCCGAAGUGGAUAUCGGCGAGAAACAACUGGCCGACAUCAUCGACGUGCCGGCCAUUCAAUCGAUGAUGGAGGACUUCUCCGAGAUCACAGGGCUGCCCAGCGGAUUGGUCAACCUCAAAGGAGAAUUGCUGGCGGGGGAGC